UCUUAGUGGCGGACGGAUGAGUAACGCGUGGGUAACCUGCCUUACACUGGGGGAUAACACUUAGAAAUAGGUGCUAAUACCGCAUAACAGGGAAAGAUGCAUGUCUUUUCCUUGAAAACUCCGGUGGUGUAAGAUGGACCCGCGUCUGAUUAGCUGGUUGGCGGGGUAACGGCCCACCAAGGCGACGAUCAGUAGCCGGUCUGAGAGGGUGAACGGCCACAUUGGGACUGAGACACGGCCCAAACUCCUACGGAAGGCAGCAG
rnacentral:rRNA from 1 species